GGGGAAACAAACUGUUCUUUGGCCACCUGCACAACUUCGGGCAGGUCAUAAAUUGUGACGGUAGAACUUGGAUAUAAAGAAACACACUCUUGGGCCAAAGCUCCUCCACCUCCUUUGGGGACAGUAAAAGAAGGUCUUCCCACUCACCCUGAUACCAGCUUAGAAAGGAAUACAUGCAGCACCACAGCAGGGGUGUCCUACUUGUACUUUCUAUGUUUUGACAGAGCAGGGUGCUGAGGAAUGACAACACAUUUUUACAUUUUCCAGCUGAUUACUACAGUUUUUCUCCCCUUCUCUGCAAAACAAAUCACGGGCAGCAGAAGGUCCUUGGGAAGGAACAAUGAAAUGACUGCAAAGUACAAUAUGGGGCAUGGAUUUUAACUUCACACAGGACAUCCCCCACAGGUUUUCAUCUGAAAAUUAAACCCCUGGAUUACUUACCUGAAAUCUUGCUGCCCCACUGUUCAUUUCUCUGUCUCUGUCUGACAUCUUGCCCAUCGCACCCCAGGGUAGAUGUGUCAACAUUCAGGUGAGGAAAGAACAUUUCCAUCAAGGAAAAUACUCAGAUUUGAUGUCACAUAUUUAGUGACUCCCCUCAGGAAACAAUGUUAAAUUAAACCUUAUUUGGUAAUACACUGAAGACAAAAUGUUACAAACCAGCAUUUUUUCAGUGGCAGCUUUCUUCAUGCUUCAGAUUCUACUGUAUAAUCUUCCUCUGAAUCUGUACUUUCUAACUAAAUUUUACAUAAUCACACAUCACCAGCCAAAGAUAACUAUUAUUAGCCAAAAAAAUUAGGAAGUUGUAUGAAAACAAAAAAAAAAUUCUCUUCUAAAGGCCAAUUCUACCUGCUUCUGAGAAACUGGUGCAAUUUCAUGAAAGCUUAAGGAUUUCCCACCCCUGGGAACAUAAGAGCUAUUCAGCCCCAGGCCAUAAAUGCACUUCACUUAAAGCAAAGUUAUAUGAUACAUGGGUCUCCACUAAUAAAAUGACCACACAGUUGAUUAAAUACACUUGAAGUUCUUUUUCAAUUAUGACUAAAUCUGUCUGUUGAGGAUAGCAGUUAUAAUCAUCUAAUGGGAUUACUACUAGUAGUAAGAUGUAGGGGAGGAAGCUUGCAGAUAACCCACACCAGACUGAAAAAAGCCAGAUGCAGAAGCUGUUUCCAAGUUAAUUGUUAGUAAGGCUUAGAGUUUAAGCUCCUUUUAAGCUAGAAAUACAUUCAUGAAGAUGAAAUUGCAAGGGCUUGCUUUCUCUGAAAACCCUAUCAAGAUUUCUCUCAUAGGGCUUAGACCACAUGCAGGCUAAAGCCCUUAUUUUACCACCACAGUUCUAUUUCAGUGAUGCAUUUUUCUUUGCCUAAAUCACUCACUACAGUCAAAUGCUACACAAAAAACAAUUAUGUCAUUUUUGCAUAACAUUUGAAAGUAAGAAAUUAUCUAUGAACAAAGGAGAUUUAGUAAAAUGAAUGUGUCUGCCAGUGAGACAUGGCAGAUGACACUAUCUUCUCACACAAAACCUCCCUUGUAAGCAAAAACUACAAAUCCCAGGGAUUGGACUAUGAUGAGUUUCAAUAGUGCCAGUAGGGAAACAACUGUGCCUUGCUAUCAUGAGUAAGUCUCUAAGCAUACCCAGCUUAUAACACGUGCCCUGGAAGGGCCCUAAGGUAAUAGUCUGUGGCCUGUUUUCUAACAAUCCUAAAAAACCAAGAUACUCAGUAACAUACUUUUUCUUUGAAAUAGAAUAUCAAGUUUUAAAUGCUCCUUUUCUCUUUUAUAGCUUCUAACAAUUCUUGUAUUUUACAAUAGAUGCAUUUUCCUAGUAACAUGACUAUUAUUUCCAUCACUUUUGACACACACCAAUUUUAGUUUUUUCCUGUUUUCAUCACAUAUACUAAUAGCAAACAUUUGGAGUUGGCACAAAAAACUGUAUAUCCAGCCUAUUUUCCAAGCAAACCCUCCCUUCUCUUUAGAUUCACUCUGAGAACAGUAAAAACUCUGAGAACAUCUUUUGAAGUGUAUGUCAGGCAAUCCAGAGUUGUUCUUGGUUUAACUUGUGGACUGCAAAUAAUUUCUCAACAAAUAAUUCAACUAAAUAAUCAUUGAGAUUUUUUUGAGAGGAAAGUCCCAGCAGAUAAGAGUCAUAGUCUUCCUGAGGAUAUCCAGCUACAUCAGCUACAAGUGAUAGAUGCAGAAACUUUAGGAAGAGAGAGAGACAGAUGCAAACAGAAAACCAAGAUGGAUAGCAGUUGAGGCAGGCUCUGAAUUCAGAAUUUGCUUGUGUUCUGUCAAGCGUCACAAAGGAAAACCAUGGAUACACAACUGCCUUAAACAGGCCAUUUUAGAGGUUUGGCUUUGUUGGAGAUGGAAGGAACGCCUUCCUGCCCAGGAGAGGUGGUGCAUAAAUUCCUCAUUUUUCCUUCCUUGUGCAUGCAGCUUUGGCUUUACCUUUAUAUUGUGUUUAUCUCAAUUCAUGAGAUUUCUCACUUUUACCCUCACAAUUCUCUAUCCCAUCCCACCAGGGGUGUGUGAACACCUGCAUGGAGUCUAGUUGCCAGCUGCUAUAAAUCACAGCAGCAAGACAUGUGCAAUGAACAGAAAAGAUUUUUCCAGCCCUUCCUUUUUAUAGGGAAGGUAGAAAGCAAAAGACAAUACUCUUGUGUUGAACAGAUGUCCAGGAUCAUAUGCAGAACUGCAGGGAAAAUCUAAUCUGAAGGUGAUCAAUCCUUGUUCAGACACUUGGCUGGCAGUGCCUGGGAGUGACAUCCCUUCAUAUCAUCCUACAGCUAGUCCAAUAUCACGGACAGCACACCUGAACAUCCCAUGCAGAGCAGGUAGAGCUCACCUGGCAGGUGCCACAGUACACAUGCAGCUGGAUUAGUUAUCACUUAGAGAGCAAUUCUAAUCAGCCUUAGCCCUUCAAAAAUUUCAUAACAUUUGCUAUGGCAAAACAUUCACCUGAGCUAACCCAUGAAUUCUCUUUUUUUGUCAGGCAGCAGGAGAUUGAGGUGCAGCAUGUGAGGGGGUACCAGACCAUACUGAUUUUCCGUGCUGCCAUUAAAGAAAGGGUGGUGGUGCACAUCACCUCAAACAAGCCUCAGGAGCCCAGUAUUAGAUUAAUAUAGGACACUUGAUUCAUUCUGUGCGCUCAGUUCUGAAGCAUCAACCCACUUUUGAAGAAUCAAUGGCAACCAGAUUGCUGCUUUAUACAAACCCUAGAGACAAUUGCAAAUUUACUGCGAAGCAGCAAACUAUACCUCCUGCAAAUAAUAUGUUCAUUAGACUUGGGAAAGGCCAAUCAACAGAAUGCAAUAUAAGCUUGCUGAAAUGGGUGUUGUAUUCAGAAGAACCAAACCUCAGAAGCAGGAUAUCAGAUCAAGACACAGACAAUGCAUAAUAAACACAAACUUGAUCUGUAUUGUAAUACAGGACAUCAGUGGCCAAUUUUGUCCACACAUUUAUAAAUUAUUUGCCAAACUAGUUCAUUUAAUUGCUGUCUUAUAUAGAAUGUAACAACAUCUCUAGCUCUGCUAUCAAACAUGAGCAGCCACAAUAGUCUGUUAUAUGAUCCUGUACAAGAACUGCCCUAAAGCUGACAUUGGUGCAAAGUCCAGGUAGUUUUGAUCACCAAUCGACUCUCACUAGUUUGUCUUUAUAGCCUUGUGGCACUGAUAGAAUCUUGCAUUCACGAUUUUGGGAGUGACUGCAAAAAUUCCCCUUUUCUCUGUCAGUUUUAAAGACUAUGCUUCCAGGUAACAUAACAUAUUUUUAUACACAUAUCUAAUUAUGCCUAGGUCUUUAUUUUAGGACACUGAAUAGAUUACAAAGGUAGAGACAAUUAGAAACAGGAUUUAGAUAUGGUUACAGCUUAGGUAAUAAUUUUUACUAAUAUAAAUUACUGCUGGCAAUUUGACUCGCAUAUUAUGAAAACUCCUUUACCAUAGUGGGCAGUAAUCAGAUGGAAAAUAUCACAUUCAUAUUGAAGGGCUUUGGCCUUGCUGUUGUAGCAAAGCUGUCGUUUGACUAAGCUGCUUCCCAAGCCACCUAGGGCAGACUGAGGCCAGGAGAUAAAAAGAAAACUGCAGGUCGAAAGGCUGGUACAUGCAGAGACUCAUCAGCCUUCAGACAGAUACAAGAGGAGACAUUUCUUAAGGAUAAAACAGGACUGUGCAGUAACACUGCCCAUAGCAACACGAACUUAGAUUUCUUACCCCUUUGAGACUCUCCUGUUCUUUGCUUCACAAGGCUGCAGAAAAACCACUCCUAGUUGCCACUGCCAACAACUAUGACGAGGCAGCAGCACAUGCAGAGAGCACAUGCACCAGGUCCUGCCCAGAAAAGGGAGCUCAAGAGUAUCGGCCCACCAACUUCCCACCCUCUUCAGCUCAGACCUUGCUGAAAGCAGUCUGUGAUUAGCAGGGUUCACACCUCCAACAGGAAGAGGUCACAUGCUCCCUUGUAUCACUAGACGAUCAGUACACUUCAAAACCCUACACAUCCUCAAGAGCAAAGAUCCUUGAUCCUGUCCUUCUGGCAAGGACAUAAAGGAGACAUUGUGGUGUCAGAUGUGAAAUCUCUCCUGGAGCUGAGGGCAACAACUGAGGCGCAUUCUCACAACUGAGAAAACUCUCCUCCUGUCUCACCAUGUGAGUGAAGAAUGAUCAAGAAUGACAUAAGAACACCGGAAUAAACACUGGGCAUUUCUUGCGACUCAGUACAUGAAAUAGGGCUCAGAGGUCUCUUUCCCUGCUGUCUAGACUUUCCAGCAGGCAUGAACACAGGGCUGUAGCAUGAAGUUGCCCAAUCCAUGGUUUAACAGGAUUUACAACCUGUAUUUAUACCACACCAAUCAUGCUCACUGGGGAAGUUUUUCCACUAGUGAAGGAAAUAACCUACCAGUUAAGAGUGAACCUGAGCUUUCUCCAGCAACAAAGCCUGAUUUUAAACUAAGCUUAAAUUGACAAGUAUGGUUGCCUGGCACAAGGCAAGAAGCUGAGUGAGUUCUUGACUUUGCAAGGGAAGAACUACAGAUUUUGGAAUGACACAGAAGAAACAAUCCCCCCUUCCUUGACCCGACGGCAACUCGGUAAGUGAUGUGUUCCAGGACACAGCUGGCCCUCCUGGCUGACAGGCUACACUGAAACCCAUGUUCAACCUGUCAUCCAUCACAAACCCUAGGUCCCUUUCUGUAGGGCUGCUCUCCAGUGUCUUGUUCCCCAGUCUGUGUGUACAUCCAGAGCUUCCCCAUCCCAGGUGCAGAAUCCAGCACUUGCCCUGUGUAUGGCUGGUGAUUGCCCAGCUCUCUGAUUUGUCUAUGCCUCUCUGCCUUUGAGGGACACAGCAGCUCCUCACAAUUUGGUGUUAUCAAUGUCUUACCUUUUCUGUCCACAGCUAGUAACUACAAAGAUUUCAGCAUCAUGGUCUAGUAAGAAACAAACCCACAAGGACUGUGAAAGUAAAGCAAACAAAGUCAGCCAAGCAUCCAGCUGAGCCGCAGCACUAAUGUGCUUCUCAGACACUCCAGGAAAUGGAUACACUUUGAUUUCAUGCAUCAGUGUGAGGAAAAUGGCAUCUGAAGGCUGUAGUUAAAGAGCACACAUCCUGCUGAAUUAAGAGUUGACAUAUGUGUAACAUAACAGGACCAUCAAGAGAAGCUGAACUUCAUUAUUCAAAUUUGCUGAGUGAUACUUUCAACAAACAGGUUCUUAAGACAACACUUCUGCAGAUUUUAAUAUAUUGACACAUGAAAACAGCAACUUCAGUUCACUGGAAACAGUUUUCUUUUUAAUUUUACCAUAAAAAUGCAAAAUAAACUCUUUCACUGUAACAUUAUAGCUUUUAAUAUUCCUGAGCUGCAUUUUAAAAGCAAAAGUAUUCUUAAAUGGAUUUAACAAGAGACACUGCAGCCUUACUUUUCAACAACACAAGUAAAAAUAAUUUAGCAAGAAGGCCCCUUUUUCAAGACAAUGUUUAGCUCUUUAUGUACCUGAAAAAAUGUUUCAAGUAGCCCUAUGCCACCUGAAAUAAUUACAAAGCCAAAUAUGUCAACAAAAUAUCAGAACAACUUUCAACCAUUUUACCACUGCUUGUUACUUCCUACACCAGGUGUGCCUCUCUUACAUGGAAAGUAUUAUACAAAGGCAUUACAUGCCAGAAUAAUUUGGGCCACAAAGCUUGGCAUCAUACAGACAUAUGAAGGAAUCAAAGCAAUUUAAAAGGUAUCCUGUGUAACUUUAUAGUCAGUUUUAAGAAAAAAUAUUAAAGUCUUGCUAUCCAUCUCAAACAAUAAAAACUCUACUUUGUUAAACAUGGUUUCAUUGAAUGUACCAGGAAACACUUUAAAUCAAAUCUGUAUGUAAUAGCUUGUCACCUCUGAAGUUCCUAUAACUGGCACCCAUGUAUUUCUUAAGCCAAAUUAGGUGAUAAAAACUAAAUACACUAAAAUUAAGGUUUAGAAAACUGAAACUGAAGAAAACAGGUUGGCUUUUAGCACUUUAGGAACUUCAGCACAAGCACAAUUAUACCUACAUUGUGGUAGAAACCUAGAAAGAGACAACAAAGGAAGGAAGGUCAAAAAAAUCAGGCAUCUCUUUUCUUGAUUUCAAGGACUAGAUGCAAGCUAAGAAUUGGUCAAAACAAUUGUGUUUUCUAUAACAGUCACACCAAUGAGGUCUGGUGUCCAAUUCUGUGGCCCUUUUGUCCUACCAGAGCUUUUCAAAGGAGCCAAGGCCUCCACCACCCACUCUGAGCACUCCUUUGCCUAUUCAGCGAUCACCUCCGGUGCCUUCGUCUCCUGCUCGCGCUUCUGCGACUCCGACUCCUUUCUCUCCUGUCCCGCCUCCGUUCGCGACUGCGCGUUCUCCUGUAGCGGGAACGCCUGGGGCUUGCGCUCCUUCGCCGGGGACUGCGGCUUCGGCGAGGGCUGUAACUUCUGCUGGAGUGUCUGUAAUACCUCCUGUCCCUCCUAUGCUUUUCAUCCCGGUGACUCACAUCUCUUCUGUGCCUGCUGCUCUCCCGUCUACCCUUACUCUCAUCACUGUUUAUGCUGCUACAUGAAUGGCUCUUUCUUCUCCUUGGCUCUGUUCCACGUUUGUCCUGCUCACAGGGCAAGUCCUUCUUGCAAGUGCUCUGGUCAUAGCUAGAGAGGCUCUUCUGGUCCUGGUUAUCGGCGGGAACACAUGAAAGUACACCCGAACCCCUUUUGUCAGAACACCUCUCAGAGUUUGUAGUAUGAAGAUUCUGUCCUUCUUUGUCAUGAACCUUGUCGUGAACGUUGCCAUUUAAGUACUUGCAUUGAGUGUUUACACUUUCACGGGAUGCUACUUCUGCUUGAGAGCCAGGAGCCAGUUUGCCUGAAACAGCCUGUCCUGAGGUAGAAGUGAUGCAGCUGGAUGACACAGUGUGAGGAACAGCACUAGGGCUUUUCAGCACGUCAGUCUGAGAUGCUUCUGUUUCUUCUUUGUUUUGAUUAAUUGCAUCCAUUUUCUUGCUUAGAAGAUUGUUCAGUAGUUUCUCCCUCAGUUCCUUUUCUUUUCUCUGCAACCCCAGUGCUCUCUCUUUUUCCUCUUCCACACGUUUAAGCUCAGCCUCCUGGAGCCUCCGUCUCUCCUCCAGCUGCUGCAGACAAAUCUUUUCUUCAUUCUGUUCUUGCUCCAAAAGCUUUACUGUCUGAAAGACAGUCAAAGGGAAGAAUAAACAAAAAAUACCUGCUCCUGCUUCCAAGUUACAGCAUAACACAAAGGCAGUAAAGUGGCAAGAAAAUAAAAUCUAACCAACAGAACUUAACCAUCCCAAAAUAAAAUGGUGUUUCCUUUUCAAAGGGAAAAAAAUCAAAACAUAUCAAUCAACAAAUCCCACUAAUCCAAAACUGCUCCAAGUUGAAACACUAUUUGCUCACAAUUUUUGAGAGAAAAUUUUGUCUUCAUGUCUCCUCAAUAUAACAAAAGUAACAUAUGAAAUCUGCAGUAUUGAAAUAUAUUAUCAGGGUCAAAACUUGAAGGUUUCAGUCAAAUUUAAAAUUUCAAAAUUCAGUCAAACUGAAAAUGUUUUUAAUUUUAUUGAAAAGAACUCCUUUUAGAUGAUUGCUAUCUGUGGCUCAUAGAUGAUUUUACAAAAAGUCCACAAAACCAGCAAGUAAUUAAAUGGACAAUUAUUAUGUAGAAACAAAUUGUUGUUUUGUCAACCACUUUAAAAACUCACGAUACUAGAAAAGGUUCAAACCUUUUUCUAUUCUGACCUAGUCAAGUGGCUUAGUAUAGACCUCAGAAUUCUCUAAAUGAAAGAAACACACUCUCUGUUUCAUCAGACAAUCUACUGCACAGCUACAAAGCUAAAAAGUCUGCAAAAGGCAUUUCUCCCUUCUUCUAGUAUGUAACUGAUCUGUACAUAGCCCUGGUGAGUUCAAAAACACUCCUUAAGUGUACUGGCAUCAAGAAAAAAAACCCGUGCUUUACCACAGAGCUUUUCAUUUCUACAGAAAAUAUUUCACAUUCAGUACACCCUAAUACUAUUUUAUCUAAGUCUUAAGCUUCAGUGUUUCAGUGAAAAAAAUAACAAUACUGUUAGAGACGGAAUCUAAGAUUUGAAACCUCUGCUGACAGUACUUUUCCUACAGAAGAAACAUUCUGUGCAUUUCAAACAUUAACUAAUCAAGUUCAAUCUCUGAAACUCCAAAGAACAGUGAACAGAAUUGCUGUGAGGCAGAUGGGAAACAGCAUCUAAACCAGAAUUAGAAAAGGAGUCCUGCAUCUUAUCCUCUGUGGUUAGCUCACUUCAUCAUGCUCACAUGUCCUUCUACUGGACCUGACAAUUUACAGACAAAAAAUGCUAUUCAGGACUAUAGGUUCUUUUCAUUUACCUCCAAGUGCAUAUCUGACCAAUAGAGAAAUACUGUUUAAUUGUGCUUUUCUGAAAUUUUUGUCUAAGGAAUAGCAGCUGCAGAGGUAGUAAACCUUGUGUUUAAUGAACAGACCUCCCCACCUCCUCUCAAGCCAGCCAAGGGCUUUCUUCUGUUGGGUUCUUCAUUAGCUUCUGAAAUAAAUAUUGAAAUUACCUUUGCUCUGCUUAGCAGUUCUGCAAUUAGUCUAAUGGACUGAAGAUUUCUCUGAGCUAAUAGGAGCUUCCUUUCUUCUAGCUUUAUCUUCUCUUGAAGUUUUCUCUGUUCUUCAGCUUGCAGCUUUUCAAGUUGUUUUUUGUUCCGUCGAACUUCACGAUCUUUCUGUUUCUGUUCUCUCUUGCGCAACUUCUCUUCUCUUUUUCUCUCUCUCUCAUAUUCUUCAAGCUCUCUCUGCUUCCUAAAAAGAGUAAAUAUUUUUGCCUUAUCUAGGCAAAGCACAAUUUCAAACCCCUACUAUAUGCACAAUACAUUUUACACUUCAAGUAAAUUUGCUUCUAUAUAAGUCACGUUGACGAAGAACAAAAGUAGAAAACUGAACAUUUAAACCCUUACUUGUGACAGCAAACAGUCAUAUUAAUCUAUUUUUAACAAGUUGGAAUUCAAAGAAAAAAAAUUGCUACAGCAAGUAAUUGUUUUUUGAACUUUGCCCAGAGGCAAUAACAAUGCAUGAGGCAGCUGGGCAGAGAAUUAUCACAGCCAGAAGAAUAUCAAGCCAACAAAUGUGUGCAGUGGUGGUGGGUUUUAUUUCUGUGAUUAGGACAAAAUAGUAGCUUUUGUUAAAGGCCAUGGGUCUCCGAAACUAGGUGAUUAAUGGCAAGAUUUUUAGGAAAUUGAGUAUUUUGCAGGUUUAAUACUUUGAACUGAACAUAAGCAUAAGUGGUAAACUAAACCAUACUCAGCUUUAAGAGCUUCAUUUUAGCUACAGGCAACUUGUGUUUAUUUAUUUUCACUGAUAUGAAGGAGCAGUUUUGUUAUGCCUGGUUGUUAAAACUAUAACUGAACAAUGAGCUGUAAAUACCUUUCUUCUUCUUUUUGUUUUUCCUCAGCUUCUUUCUCUUUACGUUUUUGUUCUUCUCUCUGCUUUUCAAGCUCUUGAAGCUUUUGCCUUUCAAGUUGACGCUUCUUAAUUGAUGCAUCACUGAGGUGUUUUGUUGAGUCAAAAGAAA